GAGUAACGCUGGCGGCAUGCUCUACAGCACUACAAGUUGAACGGGUUUAAGCUUAUUAAUCUUAAACAAGUAGCGGACGGGUCGAGUAACGCGUAAGAACCUACCUUUAGGUAAGGAAUAACUAUUGGAAACGAUAGAUAAUACCUUAUAAGCUUAUAGUAAAAGAUAAAAUCGCCUAAGGAUGGGCUUGCGUCUCGAUUAGCUUGUUGGUGAUUUAAAAGAUUCACCAAGGCAACGAUCAGUAGUUGGUCUAAGAGGAUGAUCAACCACACUGGGACUGAGACACGGCCCAGACCUCUACGGAGGGCAGCAGUGAGGAAUUUUCCGCAAUGGGCGAAAGCCUGACGGAGCAAUGCCGCGUGGAGGAUGAAAGCUUGUGAGUCGUAAACUCCUUUUCUUAGUGAAGAAAUAAGACAGGUAUCUAAGGAAUAAGCAUCGGACUAACUCCGUGCCAUGCAGACGCGGUAAUACGGAGGAUGCAAGCGUUAUUCGGAAUUCAUUGGGCGUAAAGCAGUCUGUACGUGGCAAAAAAAGUCUACUGUUACAUAUUCAGGCU
rnacentral:rRNA from 1 species